rnacentral:lncRNA from 1 species
UUCUUCCAGAAACCAUGACACUAUGGCAGGCCAACUUACUAGCUUUCAAGUAAGGUAACAUCUCAGACCAUCAUAGGUUUUGACAGGGGAAACUCUGAAGGACCACAGGAGUUGGAGGUUCCACGUAUCUCUAAGUAGUAACAUACGAUGGGUCCAAAACAGAAGAAAGAGAACUCAAGAUUCCCGAGCCACAGAGCUGUUGAUUGGAGGCUGACUCAGAGAAACCCUGGAUUCAGUGACAUACAGAGACAACAGGGACUUAAUCGCCUUCUGGACAAACAUAAUCUAUGCGACCUCCUCCCCAUAAGGUGCCAUAAGCAAAGUGAGCGGUUUGGAGAGAACACUGUACAUGACUUCCUGACUACAAUGGCCUGUGGCUGAUGAAGUACAGCACUUUGGUGGAAACAGGUACAGGAUCAGUAUGGGUUUUAAUUGAGGGGCUCGGCACCAAAUGACAGACUUGACACAUCCACCCCCACCAUGGAUGCUGUCCGUCCACUGUUGCACAAUGUCCUUCAGUGUCUAAUUUACAGAUCCAGCUGUAUUUCCCCUUCCACCUGCAUCCCUGAAGUUCCUCCCACCUGAAAACUUCACCUGACCCAAGAAAGCAAAGGAAAAAACCCGGAGAGCCAGCUCAUAGUCUGGUUCACUGUUUAACAGCCAGAAGCCAGAGCCUGCGUACUAGAAGUGGAUGCCCAGGAAGUACUUGUGAGCUGACUAAGAAUGUAAGAACGCCACCCACUUCAUUCAGGAAAGUGAGGCAGGAUUCCAUGGAGUAUGAAUGACUGCACAUGGAACAAGCAGGUUAUCAUUUAUAUUCAGCAAGGGACCUCCAUGAACAGGACAUUUGGGGAGCUGCUAUCAAACAUCAGAACUUCUGACACUGUGCACACAGUCUUAUAUUGUGCCUUGUCUGUUGUGAUGUCUCACUACAGUAAUGAUUAAGAUGAUGAGCACUUGUCAAUGGAGGACCAGCCCUGUAAGAUUUGGAAGUGCAACACAGAAGCUCCAGGGUGCUAGGACUUCCAGUGCGACAUUGAAAAUGACAUUGUUCCUGGUCCUCAGUCUUUCACCAUCAAGUUUGAUGCUACCUGUAGUUCUGCGUGCAUUUUGUAGAUGCUUAGUAUCAAGCUGGUAGGUUCUAAUCUAAUACAAAAAGAAAAAUCAUAAGAAGAGAAAACUUGAACACAGGCACAAACAAACAGGGGAAACCAUGCGAAGACACAGGAAGACAACAGCCACCUAGGAACCAAGGAGAGAGGCCUCGGAAGACACCAAACCUGAUGAUCUUGGACUUCCAGGUCCCAAGGUCACCAGGCAAUCCGCCUUCUUCUUUUCCUGUGCUGGCUUGUUUUGUCAUGACCAGGGACUUUUGGUCCUAAGAGGAAACCA